rnacentral:rRNA from 1 species
UACGUAGGGUGCGAGCGUUGUCCGGAAUUAUUGGGCGUAAAGAGCUCGUAGGCGGUCUGUCGCGUCUGCUGUGAAAACUCAGGGCUUAACCCUGAGCUUGCAGUGGGUACGGGCAGACUAGAGUGCGGUAGGGGAGACUGGAAUUCCUGGUGUAGCGGUGAAAUGCGCAGAUAUCAGGAGGAACACCGGUGGCGAAGGCGGCAUCCUGGACCGGCAUUGACGCGUGAGGCGCGGAAAGCCAGGGGAGCAAACGGG